CUCUCUGUUCCUGGUUCAUCCUCUCCCUGCUUUGGACUUUCUAUUCUAGCUCUUUUUUGGUUAUCUCUUGGGCUUGUCGCAUUAUCAGCUUCAAAGGUUAAAGCUCUCUUAGCUCGGGCCAACACUUUUGCUUUGGGCCUAGGAUUAACCAUUUUAUCCUCUAUCGGGGUAAGCCCAUCAAUAUUCAUUGGGCUUGGACUAUUCUCCACAAAUAUUGGAUUUGUUUGUUGGCUAACACCACUAUCCACGUGUUCAGUAGAUAACACUUCCUUUUUGUCGGUAUUCUCAUUUCGUUGGGUGAUGACAAGCCCGUUUGGAAUGAACUUAGUAGACUUGUCUACCUCGGACAAUCUCAAGGAAACCUCAUACUGGUGUAGUUGCUGAGAAGCCUUUCCAUCUGCUGGGUUUGUCUUUUCUCUGAUCAUGACAGGCUUUUCCUGUAGAAUACUUUUCCCUUUGUCCACAGAGCUCUUCAUUUGUAGAGUCGAGUGACUGCCUGGUUGUGUAGAAUUAGGUCGGCUUUCCUGGUUUUUAGCUGUAGGCCUAGGCUCAUUCCUCAAGAAUCUGUCCUUACACUCACCGUUGUGGCUUCCAUGUUCUUGUACCACACCAUUUCCGGCCGGCGAGUUCACCGGAGACGUUUCCAUCGGAGAGGGCCAGCUCGAUCAUCUUGAAGUUUCUCCUCCCAGGCGACUGCCACUAUUCCUUCCUUUGGAUCUAUUUCCUUGCCACCCUAAUCGUUUGUCCACCAAGGAGAAAUAUAUCUCGGUUUCUUCGGGGGGUUGUGGGUUGACUUGGAGCGAAUAGACAGGGUCCAUAGACACCCGGUCCCGGUUUUGAAGCUACUUCGAACCUAAAUGGUUUACCUUUAGCUUUUGCCCUUUCUUCAUUCUCAAACUUCUUGAGGCAUCGCUGUUCUUCAUGACCUAAUUUGCCACAGUAGAAGCAGAGCGCCGUGAGUCUCUCAUAUCUGAAGUUGAACCAGUAAGAUUGUCCUAAUUUUGUGGUUCCCCUUGCUCCUAUAGCUAGCGGUUUUGUGAUGUGAUGUCCACUUCGACCUGGAUUCUCAUAAAUCUCCCCAAUUGGUGUUUGUUCUCCCUAUCCUCAUCGAGAGGGGUUCSUGUAGCUUCUGCUAGGCGUCUCCCUGUUCUCUAAUUUGCCACAGUAGAAGCAGAGCGCCGUGAGUCUCUCAUAUCUGAAGUUGAACCAGUAAGAUUGUCCUAAUUUUGUGGUUCCCCUUGCUCCUAUAGCUAGCGGUUUUGUGAUGUGAUGUCCACUUCGACCUGGAUUCUCAUAAAUCUCCCCAAUUGGUGUUUGUUCUCCCUAUCCUCAUCGAGAGGGGUUCGUGUAGCUUCUGCUAGGCGUCUCCCUGUUCUAAAGUUCAUACAGUUAAUUGGGAGAUCCAAGAUGUGCAUCCAGAAGUUGCAUUUGUUGAAGUUUAGAAGGCUAACUGGGAUAUUCGGGCUCCAUUCCUUUAGAACAAAGGGGAAGCCUUUGAUGGACCACGGUCUCUCCUCCCAGAUCGUCUUUUUAUCAAGUCCAUGUUUGAACUUGAUGAUCAUUAUUUCAUUGGUAGGGUCAUGGAUGGUGAAUCUUCUCAUCGUGUUCCAAGAGGUGUAGAUUGCUUCAUUGAUACUAGUAGCAACAUUCACUGAUUUGUGUGAGGAGAAAAUCUAUGAUAUGGAAAAGAUAUGGUAUGGAAAGAGUUUUGACCAAUCAAAACCCACCCAUGAAUUUUGAUAAAUGAACCCCUGUCUGAGAUAAGUUUGCCUAGGAGGCAAAGCUUGCCUUCUUCUUUUCCUUCAUCUUCUUCAUCCAGCGGGACUUCGUGAGUUGGGAUGUUUAGUUUUUCUUGAAUCAUACUCUCAAUCUCUGAAAUGUCAGAGCUGGGUUCACCUUCCUCCAUAGGUAGCGAUCACGAUGGAAAAAACACCUACACUGCGGAGCAACCGGUUCAAUCGGCGGAGAAACCUUCACGGCAGAGAGGUUCAAGAACGGUAACUGACUUAUUUUGUUAUAAUUGGCCAACAGCAACUUGAACCCACAAUGGCCUGAUUAGAAGUCAGACGCCUUAUCCAUUAGGCCACCCACGGGCGCCCUUGUAUCAGAGGUGAAAUUUCAGAAUAAAAGUCUUCUUGGUUUUCUCGACAUGUAAUGCCCUUUUCUCCAGUUGCCGUACUGCAACCAGUGAGUAACGAGAGUGAAAUUUCCUCUCCGAUUGCGAUCGACACUGGAACUGGCUGCUGAGACCUAUAUUUCGACGUAGAUCAGCUUCGUUACCCAUCCUGCACAUCUACCCCUCAUCUCCUCGCUUGCGUCGGUCAACGCUUUCAUGCUUCCUUUCAUAUUCGAGACUCCUCUUCGUCUUCGGGCUUCGUGCUCUCCUGGUCCUGGAACAAGGUUGCUUCUCUCUGUCUCUUUCUACUUGGUUGUGAUACUGACAUUGGAUUCAAGACAAACUAAUUGUAAAUGCGAGUGUAAUGUAUUGCUUGUAAAUGUGGUUGAAAUGACCAACUACAAAUUUGGGUUACCUGAAAUUUCCGGCCUCAAGUCAAAAUUAAAAGUUUUCCUGUCGAGCCAAAUUAGCCAAUUAACCUACUUGUAUGUAGUAGUGAUUGAAUGUAUGUUAUUACAAGAGGUUCAUCCAGGAGGGACCAUGCACUGUUGGGAGGUGAAUUUUCUCAUCUUUCUCAUCCCUUGUCAUGCAAAAUGCUAGUGCUUAGAGAGAAAAAAAUAUACUUCGGGAUUUCUUUUUUCUUUGUUCUAAACUUCUAAAUUUCAAAUAUAUAGUUUUACCCAACAGGUUCCAACUUGCUACUUAGGCUAGUUUUGUGUGACAAUAAAUCAUUUUUAAUUUCCAUUGCAGAGGAUGGAUGCAAUGGAAACUUCUAGCUUGACCCAAUACGGAGUCAGGAUUGAAACGGCUGAUGUAUUGCUUUUAGUUCCCCCUACCCUAAUGCUUAAUGCUUUUAGAUGACACAGAUUGGUUUGGCCACCAUCAUUGCAUCCUUACCACAAUCUAUUAGUACCUUCGUCUUAGCAUAAUCAUUCGGUUAACCCAUUCUCUCUUCUUCUUCUAUGUCAGCUCACCUUCCUUAUAGCUUAUCCCCUCGUCUCUAUUUGCUGCCCGUCCCAGGUCCAAUAACCACUUGAACUUACCUUCCAGAAUUGGCUCCUCCCCACCCAGUUAGAUUAAUCCCACAAGAUUCCUCCAGUUGUACUCUAGAUUGCUUCUUUGGUCCAUAGGCGGAGAAGGACCUGGUCCAAUCGAAGAAGGUCCCACCGUCAUCUAACCAAUUAAAGGCCACCAGUUGCUCAUACUCAUACUACUCUAAUGAUAUUGGCCUCAACCUCCUUGAUCCCAACCUUUCCCCUUUCCCCUUUCCCAAUGAUUCCACUGCUAGGGAUGAAUGAUGAAUCUUCCACAAUUGUUGAACCUACCCUCUCCCAUAUAACAUGCCAAUUUGAUGAAAUUAGAAUGUUCCCAAGGGCUUUUUGUUCAGACGCAUUUUAUCUAAAAAUAGAUACUUGUGAGAUCCUUCAAAACAGAAGAUCUACUUUAUGUAAGAUAAAUUGUGGAAAAUAAUUUUCACUUAUUAAUCUUUUAUUCAGACGCAUUUAUAUAUAUAUAUAUAUAUAUAUAUUCUUAUUACGACCGGGUGUUUAGGAAUGUUCCCUUUUCGACAUGUAUUACGUUUGAAUGACAACACGUGUCCCUUCCAUUUGAUUCUCCCCUUCUUUGUCUUAUCCCUGUCUUCCCUCCCUUUCCAUUCACCCAUCUCAAGGAGAAGCUUGCUCGGCAAGCUUCGGAAUCUAACGGGUAAGACCUCUUGCUUGAUCCAACAUAGGGCUUCCUUUCCCCAUUUACCCUCAGUAAGCAAUAAAAUUCCAUUCGCACWGUAAACCAUGCAUUCAAAGGAUGAGUUGUAGUGCCUGAUUGACGCUCAUUGGAUUGCUGCUCGAUGUUACUUGAUGCUGAGUGACCCUCACUGAAGGCUCGAGGUGACUUGAUGAUGAGGCUCGCUGGUCGAGGUGAAUGGUGAGCUGAUUGAAACGUUGGCUCCGAUAAGCGAUAAUCUGGGCAGAUAGAAGGGAGCAAUAGGGAUAUGGCUUCGGUUGCCAUUACAUUCUUCCUCUCGCAACUCCUUAGAGAGAGAGAGACAGAGAGAGAGAGAGACAGAGGCGAUGGAUUCUCCUUGGGCAAGUGGAGAGGAAGAGAUCUUAGGCGAUUGGUUAGUUCAGGUGUAUGAGAGAGGGAGAAAGACAGAAGCAAUGGGUUCUCCUCGAAGCGACACACUUUUUUUUAUCUAUCGAGGAAUUGUUGCAUCUACUCUCGCUGUUCAACCAAGCUGGAAUUUAUUUUAAUGAUCGAACCAAAGGAAAGGAUGUAAGCAAUGAAGGAUUUAUAGCAUCUUAUAGUUCUUAAACAGCAGUUUGCAUUCUUUGUUGAUAAAAGUGGUGGGUGAUUGUUUGCCCGAGUCAUUCCGUUGCAGGUGUUUAUUUUUGUUGUAUUUAUCUGCUUUUUUAUUUUCUUUGCUUUAAAGGCCGAGGACAAAGGGGAUUUUCUAUUUGAGUUUCAGCAAUGCCCACUCCACAUCUCUCUUUGUACAAAAACUACGAAGCCACAGAUUUUUUUUAAGGAAAAGGAAUUAAAAAUAAAAAGAAACCCUAAGCUUCAUUCUUGACGAAGGAAACGGACGAAACCUAUAAUUUGCAAAUGUGUUCUUUUGCAGAGAAGUUCUUUGUUGGUAUAGUUCUUCAUGAAGCAGGCUCUCAGAAACAAGAGGAUUAUCAUCCUCUCCUUCCUUUCUAUAUCCGUUCUUGUCCCGAUUCACUGCUUCUUUUGGUAUUAGUGUUUAAAGAUUCAUAGUUUUUGUUUCCCUUCUUUUUUCUUUUAAUUUUAUUUUUUUUCCUACUGUUUUCAUCGUUCUGUUUUUGCAGCACACAGGGGAUUUGGGUCCAGCAGCUCUCUCUCUUUCUCUCUCUCUGUAUUUUGGGUUUGUUUCAACUGAUUACUCGUUACUUCAUAUAUUUAACUAGUUAGUGGGAUUGGGAUUGUAUUGUACUUCAGGAAACAGGUGAAGGCUUGAAAGAGCCGACAUUAGUUGUGUACAAAGAUGGGGAUUUUAAUUCUGUAGAUAGAAGGAACUCUUCUGAUCGAGAGGAUCCUGUAUUCGCAAUCAAAGUGCUUGUUCCAGUACAAAGUUGAUCUCGUGGUUAACGUUGGUACUGUCAACAAUGUUUCUUGCUGUUAAACAGUCCAACUCAAAUCCUCAGACAUCAAUGAAUGCACAAGCUUCCGUAUCUAGGAUCAUGCACUAUUGUUAACAUCACCACUGGGCAAAUAUAUGUAAAUGGACAGAUGAAAAUAUUGAUACAGGAAUUGUUGCUGUAUCUCUGAUUCCUUGCAGUGAUGUACUGAAUGCUUCAUACUUCAGUCUUGCAUGUGGAAGCAAAUCAAUGAACUUCACCACUGGGCAAAUAUAUGUAAAUGGACAGAUGAAAAUAUUGAUACAGGAGUUGUUGCUUUAUCUCUGAUUCCUUGCAGUGAUGUACUGAAUGCUUCAUACUUAAGUCUCAGAGCAUGCUUGUGCCCCCAGUCCCUUGCUUAUUCCUAGUUUUAAGCUAUCUGGGGUCUAGGGGACGUGUAGACCGGAUAUGGUCCUAAGGCCUAACCUUUGGCCUUUUCUUGCACAAAGUUGCUAGUCUCAGAUUUGAAUCUGUGUUCUCAUGCUUAUCAGCCUGAGAUUUCACCAUUGCACCAACGAACGGCCCCAAGUUAUAUGUUAAAGGUGAAAGAAAGUGAAUCCAUAGCAAACAUUGUAUUUGCAAUUAUAUUAAUUAUUCAUUUAUCUCAUGCUUGUGUGAAUAGUCAUUAUUCAUUUUGUCCCAUUAGGAUCCUUCUUGUAUAGUUGCAUUUUCAAGAGUUGAAUAUUUUCUGAAAUUAUUUCCUUAACCAAUUAAGGGGUUCUUUGGCAAAUUGGAAAUUUUCUUUGCUUUUUGGUCCAUGUUGCAUCCGCAAAAACAGGAAGCUCAUUUGAUUUUCUGGUUUCUAAAAAGCAAAGGGAUUUUUCAAGACACCCCCCCUUUCAAAACUGACAAACUUGCUUGACACCUCAGAAUUGGUUACUAUUACAACUUAAUCAUUGCUGACUAUAAAAUGAUAUUCUUGCUAUGAUUUUAAAUGUUCUAUUCUUGGCAAAGCCUGAUAUGAAGCUGAGAACCUUUUUAACAUGAUCUUAUUUGCUCAAGAUACCAUUCUUUUAUGUUCUUCAAGGCUUUAACAUUAUCUAUUGUGUUACUAUUUUGUUGGGUUUCCACCUACUAAACCUCAGUAGUUUUUCUUUAGUUUAUAUUAUCUGAUUGAAGAAUGGCAUUUGAUUCCUCGGUUUCCUUAGGUGAUACAUCUUUUGGUAUAAUGUGCUGAAGGUGGUCUAUUAUUUUUCUAUUUUUCUUCUUUGCUAAGGUGUCAUCUUUGUUGUCAAGAAAAUUGCAGGUACCAUUGAUACAAUCUUAUUGAUGUGCAGUGAGUCAAGGUGUUAGCCUACAGCUAAGCAUUUUAGCCUUUCAAGGCAAGUUAUGUCCUAGGCUAUGACAUGACAAGGCGUCAUUGAUACAAUCUUAAGCAACUAGAAUGAAAAUGCGUCUGUCAAUUUUCAGAAAAAGAUAUAUAGAUGUUGAGCUGAACA